GACAUAUCAACCUGAACAUCCUCUAUACAAUUGUGACAGACGAACACAUAGACGCAGCUGAUACACACAUGGAGGAACACACGCUUGUGUGCGAAAGAGUAGUGAGAGAUAGAGAGAAAAUAAAUGCAGAGGCGAGAGAGAGAGAGAGGUGGCUUGCACGAGGACUCAGCAGUGAAGCAAAUUUAUGGUGGAUUUGUUGAUAUCUUAAUCAAAAUCAAAUUUUGGAAUCGGGAUACAAAAUGGUUGAUUUCUGACUUUUUACUUUUACAUCUUUUUUAUUUUUGUUUAACUAAGUCGGCCGUNGUAGUAGAGAGAAGUAGAGAAAGAAAAUAAAGUGACGAGAGGAGAGUAGAGAGAGAGAGAGAGAGAGGUGGCUUCCACGAGGACUCAGCAGUGAAGCAAAUUUAUGGUGGAUUUGUUGAUGGCUUAAUCAAAUUUUGGAAUCGGGAUACAAAAUGAUU
rnacentral:lncRNA from 1 species